ACUUUCAAAAUGGCGGAGCGUGGAGCGAGUGGCGGCGGGAGCGGCGGGGACAGUCUGGACAAGAGCAUCACGCUGCCCCCCGACGAGAUCUUCCGCAACCUGGAGAACGCCAAGCGCUUCGCCAUUGAUAUAGGUAGACACGGACCGGGUACUCAAGAAAGUGGCCGGAGCAGUGGGCGCGGGCGGCCAGCCAGCGGGGGCGGCGGGAAGGACGAAGGGCGGGGGCGCGGGCCAUGCGCACAGCCUCACGGGUCGCCGCACAGCCUCUCGGGACUCAUAGUGUGCGCGGCGUCAAGGUGCGGGACCGAGCGGGCUGUGGGACUCCAGCUCCCGGUGGAUCAUUGACCAAGUUGGCAUACUAUUCCACCGUACAGCACAAAGUGGCCAAAGUGAGAUCUUUUGACCACCCGGGAAAGGACGUGGAGCAGGAUCAUGAGCCACCCUAUGAGAUCUCAGUCCAGGAGGAGAUCACAGCUCGCCUGCAUUUCAUCAAGUUUGAGAAUACCUACAUGGAAGCCUGCCUGGACUUCAUCAGAGACCACCUAGUCAACACUGAGACCAAGGUCAUCCAGGCCACUGGGGGUGGAGCCUACAAGUUCAAGGACCUCAUCGAGGAGAAGCUGCGUCUGAAGGUGGACAAAGAGGAUGUAAUGACCUGCUUGAUUAAAGGGUGCAACUUCGUGCUGAAGAACAUCCCGCAUGAGGCCUUCAUGUACCAGAAAGACUCAGACCCAGAGUUUCGAUUUCAGACAAAUCACCCCAACAUCUUCCCCUACCUCCUAGUCAACAUUGGCUCUGGCGUCUCCAUCGUGAAGGUGGAGACAGAGGACCGGUUUGAGUGGAUUGGUGGAAGCUCCAUUGGAGGAGGCACCUUCUGGGGCCUCGGGGCUCUGCUCACCAAAACAAAGAAGUUUGAUGAGCUGCUGCAGCUGGCUUCCAGAGGCCGGCAUGCCAACGUUGACAUGCUGGUCCAGGACAUCUAUGGUGGGGCCCACCAGACCCUGGGCCUGAGUGGCAAUCUCAUCGCAAGCAGUUUUGGGAAGUCAGCCACUGCUGACAGAGAGUUCUCCAAAGAAGACAUGGCCAAGAGCCUGCUGCACAUGAUCAGCAAUGACAUCGGGCAGCUCGCCUGUCUGUACGCCAAGCUCCACGGCUUGGACAGGGUCUACUUUGGGGGCUUCUUCAUCCGGGGUCACCCCGUGACCAUGCGCACAAUCACCUACAGCAUUAACUUCUUCUCCAAGGGUGAAGUCCAGGCACUCUUCCUGAGACAUGAAGGCUACCUGGGAGCCAUCGGGGCAUUUUUAAAAGGAGCCGAGCAAGACAGGCGAGGCUGACACGGUGACCAGCUUCUCGUUUUUCCAGAUCCUAACCAGUACAGCUGGGGUGAGAACUACGCAGCCAGCUCCGGGCUGAUGAGCACGUCGCCCGAGCUGUGCCCGACACAGCGGGCAAGGAGCGGCACAUUUGACCUGCUGGAAAUGGACCGGCUGGAGAGGCCCCUGGUCAACCUGCCCCUCCUCCUGGACCCGUCCUCCUAUGUGCCUGACACAGUAGACCUCACUGAUGAUGCUCUGGCCCGUCAGUACUGGCUCACGUGCUUUGAGGAGGCCCUGGAUGGGGUGGUGAAGCGAGCUGUGGCCAGCCAGCCAGAGUCCAUGGAUGCAGUUGAGAGGGCAGAGAAAUUCCGGCAGAAAUACUGGGGCAAACUGCAGACCCUCCGGCACCAGCCCUUUGCUUAUGGGACACUGACUGUGCGCAGCCUGUUGGACACAAGAGAACACUGUUUGAAUGAAUUCAACUUCCCAGAUCCCUACUCCAAGGUGAAGCAGAAAGAAAACGGCCUCGCACUAAAAUGCUUUCAGAGCGUGACGCGCUCGCUGGACUCACUAGGCUGGGAAGAGCGGCAGCUGGCCCUGGUGAAGGGGCUCUUAGCUGGGAAUGUCUUUGACUGGGGAGCCAAGGCUGUGUCUGAUGUCCUGGAAUCGGACCCCCAGUUUGGGUUUGAAGAAGCAAAGAGAAAAUUGCAAGAACGGCCCUGGCUCGUGGAUUCCUACACCAAGUGGCUCCAGAGGUUAAAGAUAACAGUGGAAUAGACAUCAUUUUGGGAGUCUUCCCCUUUGUCAGGGAGCUACUCUUUAGAGGGACAGAGGUCAUCUUGGCAUGCAACUCAGGCCCUGCCCUGAACGAUGUGACCUACAGUGAGUCUCUCAUUGUGGCAGAACGCAUUGCAGCCAUGGACCCCAUCAUCUGCACUGCUCUGAGAGAAGAUAGGCUGCUGCUGGUGCAGACCGGUUCCAGCUCUCCAUGCCUAGACCUCAGCCGUCUAGACAAGGGACUGGCUGUGCUGGUGCGAGAGCGUGGUGCCGACCUGGUCGUCAUCGAGGGAAUGGGCCGUGCCAUCCACACCAACUACCAUGCAUUGCUGCGCUGCGAGAGUCUGAAGCUGGCAGUGGUAAAGAACGCUUGGCUGGCAGAGCGUCUAGGUGGCCAGCUCUUCAGUGUCAUCUUCAAGUACGAGGUUCCUACCAAGUGAGAUACCCACUCUGCCAGACGUGUCUGCAUAUCCCUCAUCAGGAAUGUGAUUUACUUCGAGGAACCUGUGUUCACACCGGAGUAUUGACUGACAGUGCGUGUACCAGGGACACCCAACCCAGCAUUUGUCCUGUGGGACACUAGUGUUGGAAUGUAUUUAACUGUUAAAUAAUCUUUUAUAUAUAUACACAUAUACAUAUAUAUAUAAAUAUAUACAUACACAUGUGCUCA